CAUAAACGAUGCCAACUGACGAUCCGUGGUGGUAGUUCAUCAACCUUCCCCACGGGCAGUCCCCGGGAAACCUUUAAGUCUUUGGGUUCCGGGGGAAGUAUGGUUGCAAAGCUGAAACUUAAAGGAAUUGACGGAAGGGCACCACCAGGAGUGGAGCCUGCGGCUUAAUUUGACUCAACACGGGAAAACUCACCCGGCCCGGACACUAUGAGGAUUGACAGAUUGAAAGCUCUUUCUUGAUUUGGUGGUUGGUGGUGCAUGGCCGUUCUUAGUUGGUGGAGCGAUUUGUCUGGUUAAUUCCGAUAACGAACGAGACUCCUGCCUGCUAAUUAGUGCACCUGUCAACUGUACUUGUGUAGGCGGUGUUCGGCGAGGCUUCUCCCGUAAUCUGCGAGGAUUUGUGGUCGAUUCCUUUUGGUUCUGACUGCUACCGAGUGGUGAGGAGGGCUGGUUCGGCACUAGCUUCCGGGUGCGGAGCGGGUGUCUACUUCUUAGAGGGACAAGCGGGAGAAGCCGCACGAAAUGGAGCAAUAACAGGUCUGUGAUGCCCUUAGAUGUCCGGGGCCGCACGCGCGCUACAAUGACGGUGGCAAUGAGUCUGACCUUCUGGCCCGAAAGGGUUGGGCAAACUGGUCAAUCACCGUCAUGACAGGGAUCGGGGCUUGGAAUUGUUCCCCGUGAACGAGGAAUUCCUAGUAAGUGCAAGUCAUAAGCUUGCGCUGAUUACGUCCCUGCCCUUUGUACACACCGCCCGUCGCUACUACCGAUUGAAUGGUUUAGUAAGGUCCUUGGAUUGGCGCCAUUGUGGUGGUUUGCCGAAAGGUAAUCUGCCCG
rnacentral:rRNA from 1 species